AAAAUUUUAAAAUAUUAGCCGGGUGUGGUGGCAUGUAGCCAUAGUCCCAGCUCCUUUAGAGGCUGAGGUAGCAGGAUCGCUUGAGCCCAGGACAUGGAUCAUGGCUGCAGUGAGCUGUGAUCAUGCCACUGCACUCCAGCCUGGAAUAAAACCCUGUCUCAAAAAAAAAAAAAAAAAAAAACAACAAAAAUACAACAACUUAGACUGGGUAAUUUAUAAACAGUAGAAUUGUAUUGCUCACAGUUCUGGAGGCUGGGAUAUCCAAGAUCAAGGCUCCAGCAGAGUCACAGUCUGCUAAGGGCUUGUUCUCUGCUUCAAACAUGGUGCCUUCUCAGAGCAUCCACACAUGGCAGAAGGAUCAAACAGGCUCCCUCAAGCCUCUUUCACAAGGGCACCAAUUUCCCCCACAAAGGAUCCAUCCUGUUAAUAUGAAUGUGUUGGGUCUUAGGUUUCAACAUAUGAAUUUUGGGGAGAUACCAGCAUCCAAACCAUAGCAGCCCCCAAAUAUGCUGGGCCCUCAAAACCCUCCAAAAUCCCUUCACUUAUCUCUAUUCUAUGACUGGGCCUACUCUCCACAGGGACCAUUCACUGCUCCUCACAUGGCCCACUCAACAACUUUUCUCGCUCUCUGUAGGCAACACUGUCUCCUCCUUAAAUUGAAAAUCAAGGCCACCUAAGACACUACCCAGGCCUGCUCUUCAUUCAUUCAUUCAUUUAAUAAAUAUUUACCAGAGCUAACAUGGGCCUGCACGGUACAGAUGUGAGACAUACAAGAAUGAGAGCCAAGCGGCCAUGGUCUCUGCCUUCAUGGAUCUCAGUCUACUGUUAAGUUACACAUUAAGCAAAAAUUACACAAAUUAUUGCACACCCUGAAAGGGGCUAGGAAGAAGAAUCCCUGGUGCUGCAAUUUUUGUGUUUUUUUUGUUUUUGUUUUUGAGACGAAGUAUCACUCUGUGGCUCAGGCUGCAGUACAGUGAGGCGAUCUCAGUUCGCUGCAACUGCCACCUCCCAAGGUCAAG
rnacentral:lncRNA from 1 species